UACAGAGGGUGCGAGCGUUAAUCGGAACUACUGGGCGUAAAGCGUGCGUAGACGGUUUUGUAAGUCGGAUGUGAAAUCCCCGGGCUCAACCUGGGAAUUGCAUUCGAGACUGCAAGGCUUGGGUGCGGAAGAGGGAAGCGGAAUUUCCGGUGUAGCGGUGAAAUGCGUAGAUAUCGGAAGGAACACCAGUGGCGAAGGCGGCUACCUGGAAUGAUACUGACACUGAGGCGCGAGAGCGUGGGGAGCAAACAGG
rnacentral:rRNA from 1 species